rnacentral:rRNA from 1 species
UACGAAGGGGGCUGAGCGUUGUUCGGAAUUACUGGGCGUAAAGGGCGCGUAGGCGGCGUGACAAGUCACUUGUGAAAUCUCCGGGCUUAACCCGGAGCGGCCAAGUGAUACUGUCGUGCUAGAGUGCGGAAGGGGCUACUGGAAUUCUCGGUGUAGCGGUGAAAUGCGCAGAUAUCAGGAGGAACACCGAUGGCGAAGGCAGCUCGCUGGGACGGUACUGACGCUGAGGCGCGAAAGCGUGGGGAGCGAACAGG